CCCUUAGAUGUUCUGGGCCGCACGCGCGCUACACUGAUGCAUUCAACGAGUCUAAAACCUGCUCUGAUAGGGGUGGGUAAUCUUUUGAAUGUGCAUCGUGAUUGGGAUAGAUGAUUGCAAUUCUUCAUCUUCAACGAGGAAUGCCUAGUAAACGCAAGUCAUCAGCUUGCAUUGAUUACGUCCCUGCCCUUUGUACACACCGCCCGUCGCUCCUACCGAUUGAAUGACUCGGUGAAAAAUUGGGACUGUGAUUGAAAUUGCUUCAUUGCGAAUUUAAUUAUGGAAACUUUCUUUAACCUAGGCAUUUAGAGGAAGGUGAAGUCGUAACA
rnacentral:rRNA from 1 species